rnacentral:rRNA from 1 species
UACGAAGGGGGCUAGCGUUGUUCGGAAUACUGGGCGUAAAGCGCACGCAGGCGGAUUGAUAAGUCAGGGGUGAAAUCCCGGGGCUCAACCUCGGAAUUGCCUUUGAUACUGUCUAUCUUCGAGUUCGGGAGAGGUUGGCGGAAUUCCUAGUGUAGAGGUGAAAUUCGUAGAUAUUAGGAAGAACACCAGUGGCGAAGGCGGCCAACUGGCCCGAUACUGACGCUCAUGUGCGAAAGCGUGGGGAGCAAACAGG